GUGGUCUCGAUCUCCUGAUCUCGUGAUCCGCCCGCCUCGGCCUCCCAAAGUGCCGGGAUUACAAGCGUGAGCGACCGCGCCCAGCCAAUCAUGUCUUGAAGAUGAGACUAAAAUUUAUAGAGAUUGAAAGACUGAAUGCACUAUACCAUAGUUAUAACAGCAUGGAUCUACAUAACACAUGAGCAAAGACAAAUUCGCAUUCCUUUUUUGAAGCAACUUUAAUGACAACAUUUGUGAAUAAUUGUAAAAUUCCAAGUGCAGUCCUUGGUACAUGUUAGGUGCUCAAUACAUUUUAGUUCUCUAAUCCUUUAUCAAAUAAACUUAGUAGUAAAACAAA